GGGUGGGGUUUGUUGGUCUGGCGGACUCCUGGAGAGGAGCUCAGGCUUUUUGCUCCCAUGGAUAGAGAAAGGAGUGGACUGAACCUAUGUCCCUCCUCCUCCAAGUCUGAGGCAAAUGCCUGCGCCUAUAAUUUAAGACAGGUAAUAAGUGGAAUUAUAACCACUUCUGAAAACCCCAAGCAGGAAUAAUCGGCUCGAUGUAUCCAGUAGACCAUCCUGAGGCUCUUAAAAAGAAGUUUGCUUUAUGAUCCACCUGAGAAUCUGUAGGAUUUGCAAUCAUGGCCCGGGCUAUGCGGUAGAGAUUGAUUAUGUCACUAAUAAAUACAGAGAUUGGAAAUGGGAAGAGCGUAUAUAAUGGAAGCAAAUGAAGACAGCAUUAAGGAUCCGUAAUGGGACAAGUUUUUCAGACAUAAAAGAUUACUAGAGAGAAUACAACAAAAUGGUUAGUUAUGAUCUUUUUGUCUUCCACUGAGAAUUGAUCUAGCACUUCACCAGCCUUUGCAGUUUGGAUCAGCGCCUGACUUAACAUAAUUACAGCUAUAUUUACUUUGUGACAUCAAUACUGAGGUUUUUUCCAUGAUGGCUGUAUGCAAAGCUGAAGAAGUGUAUAAACAGCUUUAAAAUAUUGAAGAAAAUCUGCUUUCCCCUCAUGGUAUGCUAUACCAUCAGUAACAAACUACAUGUAUGCAGAUAUUUCCUCAAGUGCGGAGACAGUAGACCUGUGGUGUAUUCAGAGGGUGACCUAACCAAAAGCGGAGAGUGCAGCUACUAUACUUUUCUAUUAUACCCUUGUACAGAAGAAUUCAUUCUGCCAAGUGCAGCUAUCAUACAGAGCUGUCUCACCUUCUGCAAUUCCCUCUUCCAUACAAACACAGGUAUUGAGAGGCCAUAUUUGGUCUCCCACUCUUUCUCCUCCUCCUCUUAAAAGAGCAAACAAAAUUUGUGAUGGGAUGUGACUUAUAUUGUUGCUUGUAUUUAUAGCCCUAUGUGUUUUCCUUUUUUGUUAAUUAUUUUAUUUAAGCAGUCUACAAAACAUUCAAAAUAUUUAAAAAUAUGUUCAUAUAAAAAGUAUCUAAUAAACCAUUA